rnacentral:pre_miRNA from 1 species
UUUGUACUCCCUCCGUCCCAAAAUUCUUGUCUUAAAUUUUUCUAAAUACGGAUGUAUCUAGUUACAUUUUAGUGUUAGAUACAUCCGUAUCUAAACAAAUGUAAGACAAAAAAUUUGGGACGGAGGGAAUACUAC